GUGUUCUUCUAACACAGAAGGGUAAAGUAAGUCUCCAUAAAAAUGAGAGAGGAGAUUACAAAACUCCUCUUUAGAUCCCGUCUGGAGUUACGGCU
rnacentral:snoRNA from 1 species